UACGGAGGGUGCAAGCGUUGCUCGGAAUUAUUGGGCGUAAAGGGUAGGUAGGUGGUCUCAUUUGUCUGGGGUGAAAGCCUUGAGCUUAACUCAAGAAGUGCCCCAGAAACGGUGAGACUAGAGUCCUGGAGAGGGUCGUGGAAUUCCCGGUGUAGCGGUGAAAUGCGUAGAGAUCGGGAGGAACACCAGUGGCGAAGGCGGCUCACUGGCCCGGUACUGACGCUGAGGCACGAAAGCGUGGGGAGCAAACAGG
rnacentral:rRNA from 1 species